GUCCAGGGUAGCCUAGUGGUCAUGGCAUCUGCCCGGUAAGCGGAAGGUCAAGGUCGUGGGUUCGAUUCCCAUCCCUUGACA
rnacentral:tRNA from 1 species